UACGUAGGUGGCAAGCGUUGUCCGGAUUUACUGGGCGUAAAGAGCGCGCAGGCGGUCGUGCAAGUCGCGUGUGAAAGCCCCCCGGCUCAACUGGGGAGGGUCACGCGAUACUGCUCGACUCGAAGGCAGGAGAGGGAAGUGGAAUUCCCGGUGUAGUGGUGAAAUGCGUAGAUAUCGGGAGGAACACCAGUGGCGAAGGCGACUUCCUGGCCUGUUCUUGACGCUGAGGCGCGAAAGCUAGGGUAGCAAACGGG
rnacentral:rRNA from 1 species